CAGCCGCCACGGUAAUACGAGGGGAGCUAGCGUUGUUCGGAAUUACUGGGCGUAAAGCGCGCGUAGGCGGCUUUUUAAGUCAGAGGUGAAAGCCCGGGGCUCAACCCCGGAAUUGCCUUUGAAACUGGAAAGCUAGAAUCUUGGAGAGGUCAGUGGAAUUCCGAGUGUAGAGGUGAAAUUCGUAGAUAUUCGGAGGAACACCAGUGGCGAAGGCGACUGACUGGACAAGUAUUGACGCUGAGGUGCGAAAGCGUGGGGAGCAAACAGGAUUAGAUACCCGGGUAGUCCCUGUCUCUUAUAC
rnacentral:rRNA from 1 species